UACGGGAGGCAGCAGUGGGGAAUAUUGCACAAUGGGCGCAAGCCUGAUGCAGCCAUGCCGCGUGUAUGAAGAAGGCCUUCGGGUUGUAAAGUACUUUCAGUCGUGAGGAAGGUGUUAAGGUUAAUAACCUUAGCAAUUGACGUUAGCGACAGAAGAAGCACCGGCUAACUCCGUGCCAGCAGCCGCGGUAAUACGGAGGGUGCGAGCGUUAAUCGGAAUUACUGGGCGUAAAGGGCACGCAGGCGGUUAAUUAAGUUGGAUGUGAAAUCCCCGGGCUUAACCUGGGAAUGGCAUUCAAGACUGGUUAGCUAGAGUCUUGUAGAGGGGGUAGAAUUCCAUGUGUAGCGGUGAAAUGCGUAGAGAUGUAGAGGAAUACCGGUGGCGAAGGCGGCCCCUGGACAAAGACUGACGCUCAUGUGCGAAAGCGUGGGGAGCAAACAGGGAUUAGAUACC
rnacentral:rRNA from 1 species